rnacentral:rRNA from 1 species
UACGGAGGGAGCUAGCGUUGUUCGGAAUUACUGGGCGUAAAGCGCGCGUAGGCGGUUACUCAAGUCAGAGGUGAAAGCCCGGGGCUCAACCCCGGAACUGCCUUUGAAACUAGGUGACUAGAAUCUUGGAGAGGUCAGUGGAAUUCCGAGUGUAGAGGUGAAAUUCGUAGAUAUUCGGAAGAACACCAGUGGCGAAGGCGACUGACUGGACAAGUAUUGACGCUGAGGUGCAAAAGCGUGGGGAGCAAACAGG